rnacentral:rRNA from 1 species
CUUUUUAAUCCAUAUCCACCUUGUGUGCAAUGUCAGUCGAUCUUCUUCAUGGAGAUCGACCAAACAUCAACCUUUAUUUUUUAACUCUUUGUCUGAAAAAUAUUAUGAAUAAACAAUUCAAAAUACAACUUUCAACAACGGAUCUCUUGGCUCUCGCAUCGAUGAAGAACGCAGCGAAAUGCGAUACGUAAUGUGAAUUGCAGAAUUCAGUGAAUCAUCGAAUCUUUGAACGCAUAUUGCGCUCUUUGGUAUUCCGAAGAGCAUGCUUGUUUGAGUAUCAGUAAACACCUCAAAGCUUUUGGAUUUUUUAAUCGAAAAGCUUUGGACUUGAGCAAUCCCAACACCAAUCUUUUUGAGAUCGGUGGCGGGUUGCUUGAAAUGCAGGUGCAGCUGGACAUUCUCCUGAGCUAAAAGCAUAUUCAUUUAGUCCCGUCAAACGGAUUAUUACUUUUGCUGCAGCUAACAUAAAGGGAGUUUGACCGUAUUGGCUGACUGAUGCAGGAUUUCACAAGGGUCGGCAACGAUUCUUGUUAAACUCGAUCUCAAAUCAAGUAAGACUACCCGCUGAACUUAAGCAUAUCAAUAAGCGGAGGAAAAGAAACUAACAAGGAUUCCCCUAGUAACGGCGAGUGAAGCGGGAUGAGCUCAAAUUUAAAAUCUGGCUGGUUUACUAGUCCGAAUUGUAGUUUAUAGAAGCGUUUUCGGUGGCAGCCUGGGUAUAAAUCCUUUGGAAUAGGGUAUCAUAGAGGGUGAGAAUCCCGUCUUUGACUCAGUGCAUGCUACUAUGUGAUACG